rnacentral:rRNA from 1 species
UACGUAGGGUGCAAGCGUUAAUCGGAAUUACUGGGCGUAAAGCGUGCGCAGGCGGUUUUGUAAGUCUGUCGUGAAAUCCCCGGGCUCAACCUGGGAAUUGCGAUGGAGACUGCAAGGCUAGAAUCUGGCAGAGGGGGGUAGAAUUCCACGUGUAGCAGUGAAAUGCGUAGAGAUGUGGAGGAACACCGAUGGCGAAGGCAGCCCCCUGGGUCAAGAUUGACGCUCAUGCACGAAAGCGUGGGGAGCAAACAGGAUUAGAGUAACCCGG